GAAGAAACGAAAAGAAAAAGUGGCAACCUUCCUUGGAUGGGGAAAACCCAGCAAGCAUCCACGUGAGAGGCCCUCCCAAGGUGAGUGAUGCAUCAUCAACAUAAACACCAAAUUAGAGGCCUGAGCCUGUGGCUGAGACAGCCCUAAUUACAAGUGGAAAUGAGCCUUAUAAAAAAAAUAAGAACAUGACAGGGUUUCACAAUCCCUGCAGCAAAGAAACCAGGAAGAAAAGACAAAGGGUUGCAGGUCCACAUUUUUGUCUAGCAGGAGCUUCUUUCAGAUAUUUCAUUGUGCUAUAUUUAACAAUGAAUAGUAGAUUUCAGUUACUAUCAAGGGUAAUUUAUAUAACUCUUUGGAAACGUGCAAAGAAUUUUAGCAUAUUUAUUUUGCACUGCCCUCAAAGUAACUUUAUGAAGUAGGUUGCUCUUCCCUUUUCACAGGUAGGAAUAGGUUCUUUUGUUCACUGUAUAAAUUCUAAAUUAAAUUGCCGCUGUCAUCUGUUGCAAUUCAUUUAAGGAUCUCUUCUUAGGUGUAGUAGAUAAGCUCUUGGUGAAACAUUUUGCAUGAAAAAAUAACCUGAUAAAUAGAAAGUAAAACUAGAUGAGUAGAUUUUAAAAAGGAAGAAUAAAUAAUCUAAUGUUAUUUGGUAGUCUAAUGCCAAAAUAAGAAGGGCUUACAAGACAAAUGAGCAAGGAACCUGCUUUCUACAUAGCAAAAUCUUUAGGCCAUCUUUUUUUAACUUCUGCUCUCUAUUUGGAAAUCAGACUGUCUGCUGAAUACAGGAAAGUUGCCUUAUAGAAAAUUGAACUGCUGGUCCAACUAGCUCAGUAUUGGCUACACUGAUUGGCAUCAACUCUCCAGAGUUUAAUUCAGACCUAUUACAUUGUUUAGCCACAUAAGGAGACAAAAGGCUUUCCCAAAUAUCUGUUUUAUUUAACAAUAAAUCCGUUGUCACUUUUUACAGGGGUCCAAAAAAUAGCAAAUUUAUUUGUGGACAAACUGCAUUUUUACCAACAAUAAGCUGCCAGCACAUGCUGUUUCUGGGCAAAUUUCCCACAACCAUUUUUCUCCAUUACAGACUAGAACAUCAUGUGAAAUGUGGUUGUAUCUGUCAUAGGAGCCUUUCGGUGCAUGCCAGUGACAUCAUGACUGACCAGUGACAUACUCUUCCAUGGCUCCGAUUCACUCCAUUUUCAGAACUUUUAAAAAAGGUUGUGUAGAAUUGAAAAUAAUUUUCCAGAACAUUCCAGAAGAAGUACUAAUGUAACUCUUCAAUAGUUUGGAAAUGGAAAAGCAAAUGACAAGACUAUCUUCACCCCACUGUACCCUGUAAUUUUGCAACAUGUUCCUCUGCUUUUGCAUAACUAGGGGAUGCGCUCCCCUCUUUUCAGUGCUGGAGUCAGUGUAUAUCUACUGAGGGUGAAUGUUUUAAAAGCCCGAAGGAACAGACUAUUUACUUAUUCUACCACGUAGCUAUCUUUAGUGCUGCAAGGCUAUUCAGUACCCCCUUCAAAAAAACCCUGUGUGUAUAGGUUAUUGUGCCACUUUACUGGAG